rnacentral:rRNA from 1 species
GACAGAGGUGCCAAGCGUUAGGCGGAAUCACUGGGCUUAAAGCGUGUGUAGGCGGAAUGGUAAGUACCUUGUGAAAUCCCACGGCUCAACCGUGGAACUGCUGGGUAUACUGCCCUUCUUGAGCCACUUAGGGGCUGUCGGAACAAACGGUGGAGCGGUGAAAUGCGUAGAUAUCGUUUGGAACGCCAAUGGUGAAAACAGAAAGCUGGGAGUGUGCUGACGCUGAGACACGAAAGCCAGGGGAGCGAACGGG